rnacentral:rRNA from 1 species
UACGUAGGGCGCGAGCGUUGUCCGGAAUUACUGGGCGUAAAGGGCUCGUAGGCGGCCAACUAAGUCGGAUGUGAAAUCCCCAGGCUCAACUUGGGAACUGCAUCCGAUACUGGAUGGCUUGAAUUCGGGAGAGGGAUGCAGAAUUCCAGGUGUAGCGGUGAAAUGCGUAGAUAUCUGGAGGAAUACCGGUGGCGAAGGCGGCAUCCUGGACCGACAUUGACGCUGAGGAGCGAAAGCUAGGGGAGCAAACGGG